UGAGGAUGGUUAUACUGUGUCCAGGUGAGGAUGGUUAUACUGUGUCCAGGUGAGGAUGGUUAUACUGUGUCCAGGUGAGGAUGGUUAUACUGUGUCCAGGUGAGGAUGGUUACACUGUGUCCAGGUGAGGAUGGUUAUACUGUGUCCAGGUGAGGAUGGUUAUACUGUGUCCAGGUGAGGAUGGUUAUACUGUGUCCAGGUGAGGAUGGUUACACUGUGUCCAGGUGAGGAUGGUUAUACUGUGUCCAGGUGAGGAUGGUUAUACUGUGUCCAGGUGAGGAUGGUUAUACUGUGUCCAGGUGAGGAAGGCCACUCUGUGUCCAGGUGAGGAUGGUUAUACUGUGUCCAGGUGAGGAUGGUUAUACUGUGUCCAGGUGAGGAUGGCUAUACUGUG